GAGGGUAUAGCUCAAGUAGUAGAGAGCAUGCUUAACACGCACGAGGUCCUGGGUUCAAUCCCCAGUACCUCCU
rnacentral:tRNA from 1 species